rnacentral:rRNA from 1 species
ACGGAAUAGAUACCCGGGUAGUCCACGCCCUAAACGAUGUCUACUAGUUGUCGGGUCUUAAUUGACUUGGUAAACGCAGCUAAACGCGUGAAAGUAGACCGCCUGGGGAGUACGGUCGCAAGAUUAAAACUCAAAGGAAUUGACGGGGACCCGCACAAGCGGUGGAUGAUGUGGAUUAAUUCGAUGCAACGCGAAAAACCUUACCUACCCUCGACAUGGAUGGAAUCCCUGAGAGAUUGGGGAGUGCUCGAAAGAGAACCAUUACACAGGUGCUGCAUGGCUGUCGUCAGCUCGUGUCGUGAGAUGUUGGGUUAAGUCCCGCAACGAGCGCAACCCUUGUCAUUAGUUGCUACGAAAGGGCACUCUAAUGAGACUGCCGGUGACAAACCGGAGGAAGGUGGGGAUGACGUCAAGUCCUCAUGGCCCUUAUGGGUAGGGCUUCACACGUCAUACAAUGGUACAUACAGAGGGCCGCCAACCCGCGAGGGGAGCUAAUCCCAGAAAGUGUAUCGUAGUCCGGAUUGUAGUCUGCAACUCG